rnacentral:rRNA from 1 species
AACGAACGCUGGCGGCAUGCCUAACACAUGCAAGUCGAACGAGACCUUCGGGUCUAGUGGCGCACGGGUGCGUAACGCGUGGGAACCUGCCCUUAGGUUCGGAAUAACUCCCCGAAGGGGGUGCUAAUACCGGAUAAUGUCUUCGGACCAAAGAUUUAUCGCCUUUGGAUGGGCCCGCGUUGGAUUAGCUAGUUGGUAGUGUAAAAGCCUACCAAGGCGACGAUCCAUAGCUGGUCUGAGAGGAUGAUAAGCCACACUGGGACUGAGACACGGCCCAGACUCCUACGGGAGGCAGCAGUGGGGAAUAUUGGACAAGGGGCGAAAGCCUGAUCCAGCAAUGCCGCGUGAGUGAUGAAGGGCUUAGGGUUGUAAAGCUCUUUUACCCGGGAUGAUAAUGACAGUACCGGGAGAAUAAGCGCCGGCUAACUCCGUG